CACGUAGGGCGCAAGCGUUGUCCGGAAUUAUUGGGCGUAAAGAGCGUGUAGGCGGCCAGAUAGGUCUGCUGUGAAAACUCGAGGCUCAACCUCGAGAUGUCGGCGGAAACCAUUUGGCUAGAGUCCGGAAGAGGAAAGUGGAAUUCCUGGUGUAGCGGUGAAAUGCGCAGAUAUCAGGAAGAACACCCGUGGCGAAGGCGGCUUUCUGGGACGGUACUGACGCUGAGACGCGAAAGCGUGGGGAGCGAACAGG
rnacentral:rRNA from 1 species